GAUGAACGCUGGCGGCGUGCCUAAUACAUGCAAGUCGAGCGAACAGACGAGGAGCUUGCUCCUCUGACGUUAGCGGCGGACGGGUGAGUAACACGUGGAUAACCUACCUAUAAGACUGGGAUAACUUCGGGAAACCGGAGCUAAUACCGGAUAAUAUAUUGAACCGCAUGGUUCAAUAGUAAAAUACGGUUUUGCUGUCACUUAUAGAUGGAUCCGCGCCGCAUUAGCUAGUUGGUAAGGUAACGGCUUACCAAGGCAACGAUGCGUAGCCGACCUGAGAGGGUGAUCGGCCACACUGGAACUGAGACACGGUCCAGACUCCUACGGGAGGCAGCAGUAGGGAAUCUUCCGCAAUGGGCGAAAGCUUGACGGAGCAACGCCGCGUGAGUGAUGAAGGUCUUCGGAUCGUAAAACUCUGUUAUUAGGGAAGAACAAAUGUGUAAGUAACUAUGCACGUCUUGACGGUACCUAAUCAGAAAGCCACGGCUAACUACGUG
rnacentral:rRNA from 1 species